AUUGAACGCUGGCGGCAUGCCUUACACAUGCAAGUCGAACGGCAGCACGGGAGCAAUCCUGGUGGCGAGUGGCGAACGGGUGAGUAAUAUAUCGGAACGUGCCCAGUCGUGGGGAUAACGUAGCGAAAGCUACGCUAAUACCGCAUACGAUCUAUGGAUGAAAGCGGGGGAUCGCAAGACCUCGCGCGAUUGGAGCGGCCGAUAUCAGAUUAGGUAGUUGGUGAGGUAAAGGCUCACCAAGCCGACGAUCUGUAGCUGGUCUGAGAGGACGACCAGCCACACUGGGACUGAGACACGGCCCAGACUCCUACGGGAGGCAGCAGUGGGGAAUAUUGGACAAUGGGCGAAAGCCUGAUCCAGCAAUGCCGCGUGCAGGAUGAAGGCCUCGGUUGUAA
rnacentral:rRNA from 1 species